rnacentral:rRNA from 1 species
UACGGAGACUACGAGCGUUACUCGGAUUCACUGGGCGUAAAGGGUGCGCAGGCGGCCAAGUGUGUUGGGUGUGAAAUCCUGGGGCUUAACUCCAGGGCUGCACUCAAAACUGCUUGGCUAGAGUCUCGGAGAGGUAAGCGGAAUUCCUGGUGUAGCAGUGAAAUGCGUAGAUAUCAGGAGGAACACCAAAGGCGAAGGCAGCUUACUGGACGAGUACUGACGCUCAUGCACGAAAGCGUGGGGAGCAAAAAGG